AGGACGAACGCCGGCGGCGUGCUUAACACAUGCAAGUCGAGCGGUAAGGCCUUUCGGGGUACACGAGCGGCGAACGGGUGAGUAACACGUGGGUGAUCUGCCCUGCACUCUGGGAUAAGCCUGGGAAACUGGGUCUAAUACCGGAUAUGACCUGCUCUCGCAUGGGGGGUGGUGGAAAGAUUUAUCGGUGCAGGAUGGGCCCGCGGCCUAUCAGCUUGUUGGUGGGGUAAUGGCCUACCAAGGCGACGACGGGUAGCCGACCUGAGAGGGUGACCGGCCACACUGGGACUGAGACACGGCCCAGACUCCUACGGGAGGCAGCAGUGGGGAAUAUGCACAAUGGGCGAAAGCCUGAUGCAGCGACGCCGCGUGAGGAUGAAGGCCUUCGGGUUGUAAACCUCUUUCAGCAGGACGAAGCGCAAGUGACGGUACUGCAGAAGAAGCACGGCUAACACGUGCCAGCAGCCGC
rnacentral:rRNA from 1 species